GCCCGGGGCUCUGCAAAGAACUUUUCUGAAGUACCAACUUUGUGUUCUUUUUUAAAUGACUGGAGAACUUUUUUUAAAAAAAAUCAUGCCAAGAUGUAUUUCUAUACACUGAGUGUCUAGUAAGUAGAUAUUAGGUUUAAUAUCGCCUUGCAUUUCUGCUUAUACGUUUUGUUGCCGUUUGGGGGAAGGGGGUUAAACUUCACAAGUUCAGCACCGAAUUUUGCAGUCCUGGUCCUUUUAGACUUCCCUUCAAAAGGAAACCAGAAAAUAUUCUCCAUUUACAAUGUCCACCCAAAAUUAUAACCAGAAAUGACCAAAUGUAAAGACAAGCCAGUAGCAAAUCGAAAAUACUUCACAGAAAAGGGGCAUCACGUUUAAGAACACUCACCAAUUCUCAGUUGUCUGGCCCAGCACAAAUGAAGCAGCGCAGCAGUUUGAGAAAGAAAGAGAACUGUAAAAUAGAAAAUUGACAAAACUUCCAUCAUAAAGAUAUGGGGAAACCAACUUAUUACACGUUGAUUCCCGUAUCUAUGGGGGAAUCGUUUUUAAUGGACAAAAAUUAAAUAGAUACUUUAAAAAAAUCCACUGCUCCAUCUGAGGCAUUUUCUCAAUAACGUAACCAAAGAAGACCUUUCAUAAGCGUUUUUAGCAUGUUUCAAAAGUUGUUUCACACACCCACACACACCAUCAAGAUGAAGGAUUGGUAUCAUGCAGACAUGCAAAUAAGCAUUUAUAAUUGGACUCAUAUAUAUGGCUCUCUAACAUUUGGAUAGCAUUAGAAUAUUGGAAACCCUCUUCGAAGGAAAUUGAUCAGCUUUGCAUCCGAAUAGUUUGCAGCUGAAAUGAUCUGCAGUGAAAUGUAAACAUAUUUCUCCUGUUGGUGAAUUCUGGUUUGAAACAAAUAAUAAAAAACGCUGGUUUGCAAUCCACCUUUUACCUCUUUUUGUAGUUUUGAGUUACAGGCUGCUGGUCAUUCCGGGUUAAGUGCGUUUUAAAAAAUGAAAUGUAUCGAGUUAAUUAGGGAAGGCUUGUCGAUUUCACUGGGAGACAACAAAAGCUUAAAUAUCUCCAGCUCUUUUCCUAGGGAGUCAAUUUGCCCACUCUCCUGCACGAGCCCCAUAAAAAGUAGCUGCUUUAUGUGACGUGUAGCUAACAUUUACCCAAAAGUUAUUCGAUGAAAGGAUUAACGAUCCCAGUUUAAACCUUUUUAAAACUACACGGAGAUUUCUCCCUGGAACCCCGACGCGAUUGGAUUGGGAGACAAAGCGGAGGGGGGGGGGACUCAUUUAAAGUUAUUUUCGUUUUGGGAACCCUUCCCUCGCUGUAAUAAUCCUGUUUCCGUUCUGUCUGUGGAUGUUAUGAAUCUCAAAUCAAACGUUCUUCACCCUUCUUGUGACAACAUUCCUGGAACACAAAUCACACGCGGCCUGCCUCCUCUCUGGUCUGCGGCCUAUGGCAAUAAUUUAUGACGAGGAUGACUAUUAUUACACAUACACGCACCCACUUUAAUACACAACAUUGGCUAUAGCCCAUUGACAUCACAGCCUUACCAGGUUCACUUGGGUUUUUAAUUCCCUCUGUAGAUUAUAAAUAAAGAUAAAGCAAACCCCACCACCCUUUAUGUGCUAUGCACCCAGCGCACCAAAUAUGUCUCUGUAAAAGUCCCACCCACAUGAGGAGCUGGGAAAGAAGGAGGAGUGGAGAGGGGGAACGGAACAAAAGGAGUUGGGGAGAGGAGGAAAACAGCAUUUAUUGGGAGUGAAUAGCAAAAGCAGGGGAAAUAGAAACAAAAUAAAUAAAGGCUCCGAGAAAGAUUUUCAGUGAAGCCCGCCAAAGGCAGCCAAGGUUUUGGCUACACGUUGAAGGAUCCGUAUUAAAUGAAAACCUCCACUCCUCCCCGCUUUACCUCGCUGCUAACAAUAGGCUCAUGUAUUAUGUAUCAUUAUUAAAAGAUAUUCGUGGUGAAUUAUGGGUAUUCUCAAAUUAAGCACUAUAAUCUUAAUAGGAACAUUUAUCUUUCUAGGAAGGUAGGUAGGUAGGUAGGCUAGAUAGAUAGAUAGAUGAGGUGUACGGGGCUAGAUAGAUAAAUAGAUAGAUAGAGAUAGAAUGGCAGAGAGAUCGACGCGGCAAGAUUCUCCUUCCGUUUCCUUUUAUUUACUUUGUAAUAGGAUUUCAAUAGGCAAAUUAUGGAGGCCUUUCCACCACCCACUACCUCUCAUAAGAAGAUGAGGGGUGCGAAUGCUAAGGUCGAAGAGGGAAGGAUGAGGUAGAUACUAGAAAAUCUCUCUCUCUCUCUCUCUCUCUCUUUCUCAAUCUCUCUCUCUCCACAGAAGCCAACUCCGGAUAAGAAAUCAAAAUGAAACCGAGUGUGCGGUGUCUUUGAGAGAUUAGCUCUCUUUCUCCUCGUGACCUUUGCUUACAAGAGUAAUAACUCACCGGGUUAAUGAUCAAUCAACGGAAGUGCUUUGGAAUUGCCUCCUAAAUACCAAACAACCACAAAACCCGGGCUCCCACUAUUCCUGGCUGGAUGGGGGGCGAGGGGGAGAGGGAGGUUCCCAACCCCCUGAGGUCCUCUUCUCUUCUGUACAUUCUUGCUCGCCAAAAAUGUUCAGGCCAUACAUUUUGCUACAGUGUCAUUUUGGUUUCUUUCGGAGUGGGGGAGGGGCAACGGCACCGGAGUGCUGUAAAUAGCUAUUUAGGAAGCCAGGGACCAGAGAGUCCGAAGAACUGUCCCCUCACCCACUCCCCUCCUUCUAAAUGCCAAAAUAAUGACUUGAAUUAUACGCUCACGUGACUGGUAAACGUCAACCUUUUACCAGUUUCAUACAGAAUUGUUCAACGACCCCUCCCUCCUCCCCCUCAUGGUUCCCCCUUUCCAAAGACUUCUCUGAACUUAAAUAAGAGUUACCAAGAGCAGUCCCUCUACCCCCCUGCCCGAGUUAGUCCCCUCAGAUGUGGUGUGUUGAUUUUUUUUCAGUCCUCCGAGCAGAAGGAGGAAAAAACAUAGGUGCGAAGUGUUUGCCACAACCACACACUUCCAGAGCCUCAGCUCCGACCCAAAAGCCAGAAGAGGUGGAAGGAACUAGGGAACUAGAGGGG